CCUCAAACAAGCCAAAAAGAUACUCAAAAAAUGCCUUCCCGCAUGAAUCGGCCCCAGAACGGCUCGGAUCUAGCCAAAAGCAACUGAAAAAUAUCAAAUAAUGCCACAAGAAUCAAACCCAAACGCGAAAGGACAAAUCUUUAAUCAAAUACUCAAAGUCAACCAAAAUGUCAACCCGAGCCCGCACCCCGAAAUCCAACCAAACCCACAAAUUUCAACUAUCCAUUUGAAUACAUGUAAAACCGCACUAGUUUCGCUCAAAUUUGACUUCGAAUCGAUGUUCAAAUCUCAAAGAUUCACUUUAGAAAUGUUUCACCAAAAACGCCUAAUUUCUCUUUUAGAUUCAUUAAUCAAAUGCCAAAAUCGAAGAUGAAAUCAUGUAUAAUAAUUAAAUCCGAGUCAGAAUUACUUACUCUAAUCCCAAUCAUGAAAAUCGUCUCAAGAAUCGUCCAUAUCCGUGCUCCCUAUUUUAAAAUGUGAUAAAAUGCAUUUCUAGCCCGAAAAUAGAUUCUUAUACAGUUGCUUGAGGUGUAUCCAUCGUGAUCUCGAGAAAAAACUUUGAGAUCGCGAAGCAAUAAAUGAAUACUGGCAGAGAAUACACUUCGUGUUCGCGUCACUACCUUCGCGAACGUGAUGACCACAUGUAAUAGACCUUCGCAAAUGUGUCCUCGUCCAUGUAAACACGAAGAUAAACUCCUCCAGCUCCCUCACUGAACUGCGAUCGCAAACCAUCUCUGCGAACGUGAUGCCCAAGCCCCCUGAACCUCCGCGAACGCGAUCCUCCAGUCGCGAACGCGAGGAGGAAAAAUCACCCAACUCUAGUUUACACAUCGCGAUCGUGUUCUCCCUCUUGCAAUCGCGAAGAAGGCACAUAGCACCAGAAGUCAGGGAAAACCAGCAAUGCAAACAUGAGAGAAAAUGGUGUGAAACCACCCCGAAACUUACCCGAGCCCCUCGGGACCCCUUCCGAACAUACCAACAAGUCCUAAAACAUAACAUGGACCUACUCGAGGCCUCAAAUCCCACAAUAUAACAUCAAAACCACGAAUCGUCGAUCAUGAUUAGUCUCUUAAGUUCAUAAACUUCAAACUUCAAACCAAGCGUCUAAUUGAAGCCUAACUAAUCCAGAAUCCAAACAAACUUGCACACAAGUCCCAAAUGAUUUAACGAAACUAUUCUAACUCUCGAAAUAGUAAUCUGAACUCGAUAAUAUCGAAGUCAACUCCCAGUCAAAUGUAUAAACUUUCCAAACCUUCAAAUUGCCAACUUUCGCUAAUUAGAGCCAAAACCUUCUAUAAACAUCCAAAUGCAAAUUAGGGCAUACGCCCAAGUCCAAAAUCACCAUUCGGACCUAACAGAACCAUCAAAACUCUGAUUCGAGGUCAAACACACAAAAGUCAAACUUGAUCAACUCUUCCAACUUAAAACUUCCAAAUUGAGAAUCAUUCUUCCAAACUAAUCUCGAACCACUCAAAAACUAAAACCGACCAUACACGAAAGUCAUAAUAUAUCAUGUGAAGCUACUUAAGACCUCAAACCACCGAACGGAAUACAAAUGCUCAAAAUAACUGGUCGAAUCAUUACAGGGAGCUCAUCCAAGGUCGUAAUCUCUUCGUGGAAGAAGACCCAAUGUUCAAAACCCUAAAAGAAUAGUCUUUCCCGAAAAAGAAAAUUUUGUAUUUAUAGGCGACCGCGUGGAGUCGCAUAGCGAAGCGAAACUGAGUUGUUUUCUAUACUUGGCCUCUAAUACUUUCCUCCUAUCUUCUUGGCCAGUGUACUCACAUAACUUAGUUCUAAAUCAUUGCUCAACACAUAUUUAAAUAUUUCUACCAACUUAAGACUUCGAAAUCAAUCUUACCAUAAAAUUUCAUAGUCUGAAUGUCUACUCAAGACUUCAGAAAACUUUAUAAUAGUCGGGGCUUUACAAUAGGGGGCAUUUAUAUAUUAUCUCUGUCAAAAAUCCUUGUAAAUUUAUAAGGUUGAAACUUAGGCACCCGAUUUGUUAACUUGAAGACCAUAGCUAUUAAGGUUCGUGCACCUUUUGAAUUCACAAAAUCUAGUUUUCAAGGAAAUUGAGUUACAGUUAUACCCGUCUCAAACACAUGUAAAUAAAGAAUAAGAAAAUUAAAUUACACUCAUACCUGAUUCAGGCGCAUGCCAAUGAAGAAUAUAUUGAAAAAUUAUCGUAAGUUACCAUCAAAAUAUAUUCAAAGUAAAACAGGAAACAGAAGUGAUCGUUCUUACUCACAUCUUCUUGACUUAUUCCCCAAUCACAAGUCUCCGCAGAGACGAAGCUGGCAUAGAAUCCAUCCCAAAACUUUUCAGAAUUUCAAAUGAAGUUAUUAUGGUGGCUAGAAAUUGAAAAUCCUAUCAUUUUUGGCGUUGGUAAGAUUUUGAAACGACAUAUUUUUUUGCUCUUUCCAUAUUUAUUAGGGUACAGUUGACAGUGAUUGGUUGUGUUAAAAUGAGAGGGAAAAUGCCAGAAAAAACUGAGAUAAUAGAUAAAUGUAUUUUUUGGUCACUCCUCUCUAGACCUUCCUUUAUAUAUGUAGAUUGGUUUCU
rnacentral:lncRNA from 1 species